AACGAACGCUGGCGGCAUGCCUAACACAUGCAAGUCGAACGAGACCUUCGGGUCUAGUGGCGCACGGGUGCGUAACGCGUGGGAACCUGCCCUUAGGUUCGGAAUAACUCCCCGAAAGGGGUGCUAAUACCGGAUAAUGUCUUCGGACCAAAGAUUUAUCGCCUUUGGAUGGGCCCGCGUUGGAUUAGCUAGUUGGUAGGGUAAAAGCCUACCAAGGCGACGAUCCAUAGCUGGUCUGAGAGGAUGAUCAGCCACACUGGGACUGAGACACGGCCCAGACUCCUACGGGAGGGAGCAGUGUGGAAUAUUGGACAAUGGGCGCAAGCCUGAUCCAGCAAGGCCGCGUGAGUGAUGAAGGGCUUAGGGAUGUAAAGCUCUUUUACCCGGGAUGAUAAUGACAGUACCGGGAGAAUAAGCUCCGGCUAACUACGUG
rnacentral:rRNA from 1 species